AUACGUAGGGUGCGAGCGUUAAUCGGAAUUACUGGGCGUAAAGCGUGCGCAGGCGGUUUUGUAAGGCAGUGGUGAAAUCCCCGGGCUCAACCUGGGAACUGCCAUUGUGACUGCAAGGCUGGAGUGCGGCAGAGGGGGAUGGAAUUCCGCGUGUAGCAGUGAAAAGCGUAGAUAUGCGGAGGAACACCGAUGGCGAAGGCAAUCCCCUGGGCCUGCACUGACGCUCAUGCACGAAAGCGUGGGGAGCAAACAGGAUUAGAUACCCUGGUAGUCCACGCCCUAAACGAUGUCAACUGGUUGUUGGGAAUUUAUUUUCUCAGUAACGAAGCUAACGCGUGAAGUUGACCGCCUGGGGAGUACGGCCGCAAGGUUAAAACUCAAAUGAAUUGACGGGG
rnacentral:rRNA from 1 species